rnacentral:rRNA from 1 species
AUGAUGGAGCCGCUUCUCAUGCUCACCGCGCUCCUCCUCGCGCACGCGGUGGCUACCCUGGUGCGCGCGGCCGUCGCCCGCCGGCGGCGCUCGCGGUGCUACCUGCUGGACUACGUGUGCCACAAGCCGAGCGACGACCGCAAGGUGAGCACGGAGGUCGGCGGCAGCUUGAUCCUGCGCAACAACCGCCUCGGCCUCCCCGAGCUCCGGUUCCUCCUCCGCGUCAUCGUCCGGUCCGGCAUCGGCGAGCACAGCUACGACCCGUGCAGCAUCCUGGAGGGCCGCGAGGACUCGCCCACCCACCGGGACGCGCUCGACGAGAUGGACGCCUUCUUCGACGAGGCCAUCGCGGAUCUCUUCGUGAGGACCGGCAUGUCGCCCGGGGACGUCGACGUGCUCGUCGUCAACGUCUCCCUUUUCUCCCCGGCGCCGUCGCUUGCCUCCAGGGUCGUGCGCCGCUUCGCCAUGCGCGAGGACGUUGCCGCGUACAGCCUCUCCGGCAUGGGGUGCGGCGCCGGCCUCGUCGCGCUCGACCUCGCGCGCAAUGCGAUGCGGGCUCGGCCGGCGUCCACGCUGGCCCUCGUGGUCUCGUCCGAGUCCAUCGCCCCCAGCUGGUACGCCGGCACCGACCGGUCCAUGAUGCUGGGCAACUGCCUCUUCCGAUCCGGAGGGGCCGCCGCGCUGCUCACCAACGACCCGUCGCUCUGCGGCCGCGCCAAGAUGGCGCUUCGCCACCUCGUCCGCACCAACACCGCCGCCGACGACAAGGCGCACACCUGCGCGCAGCAGCGUGAGGACGACGACGGCCGCGUGGGGAUCAGCCUCGGCAAGGCCUUGCCCGAGGCGGCCGUCCGGGCCUUGACUCUCAACCUGCGGCGCCUCGUCCCGCUCGUCCUCCCCGUGGCCGAGCUCCUGCGGUUCGCCGCCCAGCACGUAUCUAGCAUGCUUCUAUCCCAUUUUGGCAUGCACGUGAAGGCAGCCGGACGUCCCGGCGCCAGGAUCAACUUUAAGACCGGCGUGGAGCACUUCUGCCUCCACCCGGGCGGCGCCGCCGUCAUCGAGGCGGUGAAGGAGAGCCUCGGGUUGGACGACGACGACGUGGAGCCAGCGCGGAUGACGCUGCACCGGUGGGGGAACACGUCGGCGAGCAGCCUCUGGUACGUGCUGUCGUACAUGGAGGCCAAGGGGAGGCUGAAGAGAGGAGAUAGGGCGCUGAUGCUCACCUUCGGGUCGGGGUUCAAGUGCAACAGCUGCCUAUGGGAGGUGACCGGCGACAUGGCUGACAAGGGCGCCUGGGCAGACUGUGUCGAUGAAUACCCACCGGAGAGCACCACCAACCCCUACAUGGACAAGUACAGCUGGGUGAACCAACAAGCUUAA